AUGAAGUAUUUCACAGAGGGACUCGGAGGAGGAGUGCAGAGAAGUUGUUGUUAUAGACGAGAAGCAGAUGCAGAUACAAGCGUGAAGAAGAAGAUGAUAGAGCAUAGAGAGAUUGAAGUUUUUUCUGGUUCUUUUGUGAUUCUUCCAAGAGAGAAGAAUGGUGAAUCUGAAGUAGAGAAAGUUGAGAGGAUUUGGUUUAUGCUUGGCAUGGUGAAUUAA